rnacentral:ncRNA from 1 species
CGCCUGACCAGCGUAACGGGUCAAACACACGAGGAGCGACCUCGUACAAAAAGCGUA